UACGUAGGGUGCGAGCGUUGUCCGGAAUUAUUGGGCGUAAAGGGCUCGUAGGCGGUUUGUCGCGUCGGGAGUGAAAACCAGGUGCUUAACACCUGGCUUGCUUUCGAUACGGGCAGACUAGAGGUAUGCAGGGGAGAACGGAAUUCCCGGUGUAGCGGUGAAAUGCGCAGAUAUCGGGAGGAACACCGGUGGCGAAGGCGGUUCUCUGGGCCUGUACUGACGCUGAGGAGCGAAAGCGUGGGGAGCGAACAGG
rnacentral:rRNA from 1 species